CCUACGGGCAGCAGCAGUGGGGAAUAUUGCACAAUGGGGGAAACCCUGAUGCAGCGACGCCGCGUGAGUGAAGAAGUAAUUCGUUAUGUAAAGCUCUAUCAGCAGGGAAGAAAAUUACGGUACCUGAGUAAGACUCCCCGGCUAACUACGUGCCAGCGGCCGCGGUAAUACGUAGGGGGCAAGCGUUAUCCGGAUUUACUGGGUGUAAAGGGGGCGUAGACGGCAGUGCAAGUCUGGAGUGAAAGGCGGGGGCUUAACCCCCGGACUGAUAUGGAAACUGUACGGCUGGAGUGCAGGAGAGGUAAGUGGAAUUCCUAGUGGAGCGGUGAAAUGCGUAGAUAUUAGGCGGAACACCAGUGGCGAAGGCGGCUUACUGGACUGUAACUGACGUUGAGGCUCGAAAGCGUGGGGAGCAAACAGGAUUAGAUACCCGGGUAGUC
rnacentral:rRNA from 1 species